UGUUGGUUGCUGUUAUUCUAAAUGUGAGUUCUGUUUUUCCAACCCCUACUCACAGGUAACUCAGAUCUCCAAAGAAAAGCAAGCUCAGCAGAGAGUGAAUCCCAAACCCCCCAGUGAGAAGAGACUCCUGGCUCAGGGGGUCAAAGCCAGGCCAAGAGACUGCUACCUGAGCCCCCCCACCGACACCACCAGACCUGCAGCCAGGACCCAGGCUCACUCCCACCCCCACCACCAACCCCAGCACUCACCCCACCUCCAGGCACUCAGUGACACAAAUUCCCAGUCUAGCAUACUGGACACCCAGCCACACCAGCCCCAAUGCAUCCCCUUAACACAGUCCCAGACCGUCCACCUCAACAUCAACACCUUGUCCAAGUUCCUCGCUUUUAUGCACUGCAAUCACCAGGACGCCGUUCUCACCAUACCCAAGCCCUGUAGUGGCCCCAGCCCCCAAAGGAAGCCACAGUCUAUAGACGGAUACAGCCCUAACGCCAAUGUACCACUUAGGAACACCAUCCUGGUAAACCCUUACUCCCACCCAGGCCCUCACCCCUGUCCCCAAGACCACGGUUCAUUACAGCUGGCUUUGGUUCCACAGGCUGAUGUGUCUCCACUGUGUCCAGGUCGGGGCUCUCGCAGCAGUCAGGGCUUCCCAGGGAUGCCCCCUCUCUGCCAGGGCAGCAGAGAACCACCGCAUCUCUGGCACCAGGAGAACGCCCCAUUGCAGCGUGAAAACCACAUUGUCCUGCAGUAUGAUGAUGAGGAUAGUCACAGGUCUACUUACACCGCCGAGACAAAAUACUCCUCCUGCUCCUACACAGUGCUGCCCCCUAUAGGUAAAAGAACGACGGGAGACACUGAGCUAGGCCAUGACAGAGCUGCAGAGAGAUUCACCUCCAUGCAGAGAAGCAGCUCUGAGGCCUACCUGGCACAGAUGAGGAGAGAGAAACAACUGAAAGAGAGAGUAAUUUACAAGGCCUACACCCUGAAGGACUAUAAGCAGCUGAAGCAGGACGUUUAUCUUGGAGGCCUUGGGCCUGAUUACACCACCACAGAAAUUACAGUAAGUGCCUCUGCUUACCUUAAAACCAAUUGUCAUACCAAAUAAUAAUAUGUUCCUAUGG
rnacentral:lncRNA from 1 species